rnacentral:rRNA from 1 species
CCUACGGGAGACAGCAGUGGGGGAUAUUGGGCAAUGGGCGCAAGCCUGACCCAGCAACGCCGCGUGGAGGAAGAAGCCUUUCGGGUUGUAAACUUCUGUUAAGAGGGCAGAGCAGAAGACGGUACCUCUUGAAUAAGCCACGGCUAACUACGUGCCAGGCGCCGCGGUAAUACGUAGGUGGCACGCGUUGUCCGGAUCUACUGGGUGUAAAGGGCGUGCAGCCGGGAAUACAAGACAGAUGUGAAAGCCCGCGGCUCAACCGCGGAACUGCAUUUGAAACUGUUUUUCUUGAGUACCGGAGAGGUAAUCGGAAUUCCUUGUGUAGCGGUGAAAUGCGUAGAUAUAAGGAAGAACACCAGUGGCGAAGGCGGAUGACUGGACGGCAACUGACGGUGAGGCGCGAAAGCGUGGGGAGCAAACAGGAUUAGAUACCCGAGUAGUC